AGUGAACGCUGGCGGUAGGCCUAACACAUGCAAGUCGAACGGCAGCACAGUAAGAGCUUGCUCUUACGGGUGGCGAGUGGCGGACGGGUGAGGAAUACAUCGGAAUCUACUUUUUCGUGGGGGAUAACGUAGGGAAACUUACGCUAAUACAGCAUACGACCUACGGGUGAAAGCAGGGGAUCUUCGGACCUUGCGCGAUUGAAUGAGCCGAUGUCGGUUUAGCUAGUUGGCGGGGUAAAGGCCCACCAAGGCGACGAUCCGUAGCCGGUCUGAGCGGAUGAUCAGCCACACUGGAACUGAGACACGGUCCAGACUCCUACGGGAGGCAGCAGUAGGGAAUAUUACACAAUGGGCGCAAGCCGGAUCCAGCCAUACCGCGUGUGUGAAGAAGGCCUUCGGGUUGUAAAGCCCUUUUGUUAGGAAAGAAAAGCAGCAGGUUAAUACCCCACUGUUCUGACGGUACCCAAAGAAUAAGCACCGGCUAACUUCGUG
rnacentral:rRNA from 1 species